AUACUUACCUGGCACGGGAGAUACCGUGAUCACGAAGGCGGUUCUCCUAAGGCGAGGCUUCAUUUGCCUGGGGGUGUCGCUGACCCUUGCGAUUAACCCAAAUGUGGUUAACUCGAGUGCGCAAUUUUUGUAAGCGGGGGACUCCGUUCGCGCUAUCCCCCU
rnacentral:snRNA from 1 species